CUGGCUCAGGAUGAACGCUAGCGACAGGCUUAACACAUGCAAGUCGAGGGGCAGCAUAAAAGUAGCAAUACUUGGUGGCGACCGGCGCACGGGUGAGUAACGCGUAUGCAACCUACCUAUCAGAGGGGAAUAACCCGGCGAAAGUCGGACUAAUACCGCAUAAAACAGGGACACCGCAUGGUGAUAUUUGUUAAAGAAAUUCGCUGAUAGAUGGGCAUGCGUUCCAUUAGGUAGUUGGUGAGGUAACGGCUCACCAAGCCGACGAUGGAUAGGGGAACUGAGAGGUUGGUCCCCCACACUGGUACUGAGACACGGACCAGACUCCUACGGGAGGCAGCAGUGAGGAAUAUUGGUCAAUGGGCGAGAGCCUGAACCAGCCAAGUCGCGUGAAGGAAGAAGGAUCUAUGGUUCGUAAACUUCUUUGCAGGGGAAUAAAGUGCAGGACGUGUCCUGUUUCGUAUGUACCCUGAGAAUAAGGAUCGGCUAACUCCGUGCCAGCCGCCGC
rnacentral:rRNA from 1 species